rnacentral:rRNA from 1 species
UUCAUGGAGAGUUUGAUCCUGGCUCAGGACGAACGCUGGCGGCGUGCCUAAUACAUGCAAGUCGAGCGGACAGAUGG